rnacentral:rRNA from 1 species
GAUGAACGCUGGCGGCGUGCCUAAUACAUGCAAGUCGAGCGAACAGACGAGGAGCUUGCUCCUCUGACGUUAGCGGCGGACGGGUGAGUAACACGUGGAUAACCUACCUAUAAGACUGGGAUAACUUCGGGAAACCGGAGCUAAUACCGGAUAAUAUAUUGAACCGCAUGGUUCAAUAGUGAAAGACGGUUUUGCUGUCACUUAUAGAUGGAUCCGCGCCGCAUUAGCUAGUUGGUAAGGUAACGGCUUACCAAGGCAACGAUGCGUAGCCGACCUGAGAGGGUGAUCGGCCACACUGGAACGGAGACACGGUCCAGACUCCUACGGGAGGCAGCAGUAGGGAAUCUGCCGCAAUGGGCGAAAGCCUGACGGAGCAACGCCGCGUGAGUGAUGAAGGUCUUCGGAUCGUAAAACGCUGUUAUUAGGGAAGAACAAAUGUGUAAGUAACUAUGCACGUCUUGACGGUACCUAAUCAGAAAGCCACGGCUAACUACGUG